rnacentral:rRNA from 1 species
GUAGGUGGCAAGCGUUGUCCGGAAUUAUUGGGCGUAAAGCGCGCGCAGGCGGUUCUUUAAGUCUGAUGUGAAAGCCCACGGCUCAACCGUGGAGGGUCAUUGGAAACUGGAGAACUUGAGUACAGAAGAGGAAAGCGGAAUUCCACGUGUAGCGGUGAAAUGCGUAGAGAUGUGGAGGAACACCAGUGGCGAAGGCGGCUUUCUGGUCUGUAACUGACGCUGAGGCGCGAAAGCGUGGGGAGCAAACAGGGAUUAGAUACCCUGGUAGUCCACGCCGUAAACGAUGAGUGCUAAGUGUUAGGGGGGUUUCCGCCCCCCUUAGUGCUGCUGCUAACGCAUUAAGCACUCCGCCUGGGGAGUACGGCCGCAAGGCUG